rnacentral:sRNA from 1 species
GGAUAGCCCCGAUUGCGCAGAAAUCCUUUUGUUUUUUCCUUUAAAAAACAAAAGAUUGGAGCAAAAGCGGGAAACCAU